AGGGGGCUGGACUUCCUGCCGGCCGUGUCCCUGCUGUUGACGUUCUCGGGCCUCACCAGCCGCUUCACGCGCUCUACGUCGCCGUUCCUGCAGGCUUCGAAGACCUCGCGGGCCGGCUCGGUCGAGACGCCCCCACCGCAGCACGACGACAACGGCUGCAGCACCUCCCCCAAGGGACCCCCCGCCGCUGCCGCAGCUCCUCCUCCUCCGCUCCGCCGACCAGCCAUGCCAGGGGGAAGAAUAAACUUCCUCCCCCGUUCGCCCUCACGGCCCGAUGCCCGCCAUAGACGGCUCGAGUUAUCUUCGCGGAGCGGGGGAGGGGGAUGUCGGGGAAAAGGCGGCCACUGCGGGGAGGGAUGCGACGCCACAGUCACCUCCGGCCCGAGCGACCAGUGAGAAAAAAAAGGCGGAACAGCUAAGCUCCUGCCUCAGAUGUAAUGGGAAGAGGAGUAUGGAAUGAUGGCUGGAGCACACAUUGAUUGUUUCUGCACCCAUGUGGUUCACAGCCAUCCAUGGUGUGCGCAAAGCUCUCCUCCAACACCACAUUUCAAAUGAGUUGAUUAUUCUCUUACCCACUUUUUUCACUGUCCAACUUUCACAUCCAUACUCAGAGAUUGGGAAUACCAUGGUCUGAAUGAUCCUGACUUUAGUGCAAGUCAAAACUGCCUACAAAAAUGUGUUUAUUAGGAUUGCACCCUAAGAUGCUGUAGAAUUUUCAUGUGAAUAUUUUUUAAAAAUCACAAAUUGCUGCAGAAACAUGGAGAACUACAUUUAAGAUUGGAAAAAUGAGAAACUGAGAGAAUUGAAACGGAUAGAUCUUUCCAUCCCUAUUUGAGAAUCAAAUCGGCUCAAAUGAUCCUCAUUUCAAGAUGUAACUGUAAACAAGGCUUUGUAUUUCAUAUGCAGAUUUAAGUAACUAUUACUAAGGUGUAAAUAACUAUUAUCCUUAGCUCGUACUUUCUGUACU